CGACGACCAAAAUCUUGACCAGGUGGAGCAGAGGUGCAUCGUGAGCGUGUGCCAGCCGGGGAGCAACCUGCUCGCCGCCGGCUACUGCAUGUACUCGAGCUCGGUCAUCUUCGUGCUCACCAUCGGGACAGGGGUGUACGUGUUCACGCUGGACCCGAUGUACGGCGAGUUCGUGCUGACGCAGGAGAAGGUGCAGAUCCCCAAGGCAGGCAAGAUCUAUGCCUUCAACGAGGGCAACUACGCGCUCUGGGACGACAAGCUCAAGAGCUACAUGGACAGCCUCAAGGAGCCCGGGCCGUCCGGGAAG
rnacentral:misc_RNA from 1 species